rnacentral:rRNA from 1 species
GACGAACGCUGGCGGCGUGCCUAACACAUGCAAGUCGAACGGAAAGGCCCUGCUUUUGUGGGGUGCUCGAGUGGCGAACGGGUGAGUAACACGCGUGUAACCUGCCCCUGUCUUUGGGAUAACUUCAGGAAACUGGGGCGCAUACCGGAUAGGAGCUCCUGCUGCAUGGUGGGGGUUGGAAAGUUUCGGCGGUUGGGGAUGGACUCGCGGCUUAUCGGCUUGUUGGUGAGGUAGUGGCUUACCAAGGCUUUGACGGGUAGCCGGCCUGAGAGGGUGACCGGCCACAUUGGGACUGAGAUACGGCCCAGACUCCUACGGGAGGCAGCAGUGGGGAAUAUUGCACAGUGGGCGGGAGCCUGAGGCGGCAGCGCCGCGUGCGGGAUGACGGCCUUCGGGUUGUAAACCGAUUUCGCCUGUGACGAAGCGUGAGUGACGGUAAUGGGUAAAGAAGCACCGGCUAACUACGUG